rnacentral:lncRNA from 1 species
CUCCCCUUAUACAAAUUACCAUUCUUUACAUCAAAGAACUUUUAGAGCGACCAUGGAUUAUUCUCCUUACAACAUCCAACAAAAACACCCUAAAAGCCUAUCAACAAUCUCACACACACUACUACUUGUGUUGGCUUCAAUAUCUUUUAAUCAAAACCGUAAUCUAAAACCAACCAGCCACGAAUUCAUGUCAAUACUUGAUGUCUCCAGUUAUCAUCAUCAUCAGCCACCGCCGCAACCACUGUUGAAAGUCUCCACUCACACAUGACACUUUAUAAACCUUCAUGUUAAUGAAUUUCUUGUUCUCUAAGUGCCAUACAAUGAUGAUGAGACGGUGAUGAUAGGAACUAUAUUAGUUGGGAAGAUUUGCAAGAUGGUGAGCAAAGGUUGACAUUGGGGUCUCACAAUGAGGGUAGAGUUAUUGUUGUUGUACAGUUGAGGAAGGGACAUAUGCGGAAUAUCAAACAGUCCAAGUAACAAGCUGAUCUCAAGUUUCUUCCUCAACCAAAGGACAAAGUAAAGUUGAAUUGGAGGUUACAAAUAAGUAUAGCUUUUCAUGGCAGCAAAGGAUGAGUGAAGUGUGAUAACGAGUCAGCAAC